rnacentral:rRNA from 1 species
AGAAUCAACGCUGGCGGCGCGCUUAACACAUGCAAGUCGAGCGAGAAAGUGGAGCAAUCCAUGAGUAAAGCGGCGUACGGGUGAGUAGCACGUGGAUCAUCUACCUUUUUGUGGGGGAUAACCCUGGGAAACCGGAGCUAAUACCGCAUAAGUCCGUAAGGAGAAAGCAGCAAUGCGCUGAAAGAGGAGUCCGCGGCCGAUUAGCUAGUUGGUGAGGUAACGGCUCACCAAGGCGAUGAUCGGUAGCCGGCCUGAGAGGGCACACGGCCACACUGGCACUGAAACACGGGCCAGACUCCUACGGGAGGCAGCAGUGGGGAAUCUUGCACAAUGGGGGCAACCCUGAUGCAGCGACGCCGCGUGAACGAUGAAGCCCUUCGGGGUGUAAAGUUCUUUCGGCAGGGACGAUAAUGACGGUACCUGAAGAGAAGCUGCGGCUAACUACGUGCCAGCAGCCGCGGUAA